rnacentral:tRNA from 1 species
UAUGAAAUGCCUGAAUAAAGGAUUAUUUUGAUGUAAUAAAUCAUGCUCACCAAGCUUUCAUAU